AACCAGGUGAGGGCGGACAUUUCUGGGCCAGAUCACGUUCUUUCAAAUUUGAUAUGUCAAUGGCAUCCAUUCGUGUUCACUCAGGGAUUCAAUCUCUUCAAUCUCGUUUCCAAGGUUGUCUCUUCCAAAAAGAGGAUCUAGUUCAAAAAAUGAAUCCGACUUGAAAAUGUCCGCCCAUGUCCUAAAUCUGCAUCAGGUAUGUCUCAUAAUGAGAAGAAAGGUAGGAGCUUCUUUGUUUACUGACAAUGCACAGAAAAUAAUCUGAAGAACAUGCAAUUAGAAAUUGAAGUAUCUGAUGUAUAUUGCAACCUUCAUUCAGGAUGGGAGCAAGGUUUUUGCAGUAUUUUAAGUUGGUAUGUUCCUUAUAGGAUAAGCAUCUUCAUCUUAUAACUGAAUGUGUAUACAAUGAAAUCGGUAUUCAAUUUGAGUGCCAUAAGAAGGUUUGUCUUUUUUGGAGUUGCACCUUCAGAAUACUUAAUUGUGCAUCUUCUGUAUUAAUUUGUUGAUGAUACACUAGCAUAAUCAUAAUUGAAGUCUGUAACAUAUGUAAUCAUUUUACAGUGGCC